rnacentral:rRNA from 1 species
GGGGAGGGGGGGCCUAUUAAUGCAAGUCGAGCGAAUGGAUUAAGAGCUUGCUCUUAUGAAGUUAGCGGCGGACGGGUGAGUAACACGUGGGUAACCUGCCCAUAAGACUGGGAUAACUCCGGGAAACCGGGGCUAAUACCGGAUAACAUUUUGAACCGCAUGGUUCGAAAUUGAAAGGCGGCUUCGGCUGUCACUUAUGGAUGGACCCGCGUCGCAUUAGCUAGUUGGUGAGGUAACGGCUCACCAAGGCAACGAUGCGUAGCCGACCUGAGAGGGUGAUCGGCCACACUGGGACUGAGACACGGCCCAGACUCCUACGGGAGGCAGCAGUAGGGAAUCUUCCGCAAUGGACGAAAGUCUGACGGAGCAACGCCGCGUGAGUGAUGAAGGCUUUCGGGUCGUAAAACUCUGUUGUUAGGGAAGAACAAGUGCUAGUUGAAUAAGCUGGCACCUUGACGGUACCUAACCAGAAAGCCACGGCUAACUACGUGCCAGCAGCCGCGGUAAUACGUAGGUGGCAAGCGUUAUCCGGAAUUAUUGGGCGUAAAGCGCGCGCAGUGGUUUCUU